UUGUGGGGUCCAUUCCACGGAUUCCGUGACGCAGCUAACGCAUUAAGUUCCCCGCCUGGGGAGUACGGCCGCAAGGCUAAAACUCAAAGGAAUUGACGGGGACCCGCACAAGCGGCGGAGCAUGCGGAUUAAUUCGAUGCAACGCGAAGAACCUUACCAAGGCUUGACAUAUACGAGAACGGGCCAGAAAUGGUCAACUCUUUGGACACUCGUAAACAGGUGGUGCAUGGUUGUCGUCAGCUCGUGUCGUGAGAUGUUGGGUUAAGUCCCGCAACGAGCGCAACCCUCGUUCUAUGUUGCCAGCACGUAAUGGUGGGAACUCAUGGGAUACUGCCGGGGUCAACUCGGAGGAAGGUGGGGAUGACGUCAAAUCAUCAUGCCCCUUAUGUCUUGGGCUUCACGCAUGCUACAAUGGCCGGUACAAAGGGCUGCAAUACCGUGAGGUGGAGCGAAUCCCAAAAAGCCGGUCCCAGUUCGGAUUGAGGUCUGCAACUCGACCUCAUGAAGUCGGAGUCGCUAGUAAUCGCAGAUCAGCAACGCUGCGGUGAAUACGUUCCCGGGUCUUGUACACACCGCCCGUCAAGUCAUGAAAGUCGGUAACACCUGAAGCCGGUGGCCUAACCCUUGUGGAGGGAGCCGUCGAAGGUGGGAUCGGUAAUUAGGA
rnacentral:rRNA from 2 species